UUGGCGGACGGGUGAGUAACGCGUGGGUAACCUGCCUCACACUGGGGGAUAACAGUUAGAAAUAGCUGCUAAUACCGCAUAAGCGCACAGUUCCGCAUGGAACGGUGUGAAAAACUCCGGUGGUGUGAGAUGGACCCGCGUCUGAUUAGCCAGUUGGCGGGGUAACGGCCCACCAAAGCGACGAUCAGUAGCCGGCCUGAGAGGGUGAACGGCCACAUUGGGACUGAGACACGGCCCAA
rnacentral:rRNA from 1 species